GCUGACGACAAUAGCGCGAUGGCCCCACCUGAUCCCUUCCCGAACUCAGAAGUGAAACAUCGUUGCGCCAAUGGUAGUGUGG
rnacentral:rRNA from 1 species